CUAAGUUUGAUGGCGACCGGCGCACGGGUGAGUAACACGUAUCCAACCUGCCGAUGACUCGGGGAUAGCCUUUCGAAAGAAAGAUUAAUACCCGAUGGCAUAGUUCUUCCGCAUGGUGGAACUAUUAAAGAAUUUCGGUCAUCGAUGGGGAUGCGUUCCAUUAGGUUGUUGGCGGGGUAACGGCCCACCAAGCCUUCGAUGGAUAGGGGUUCUGAGAGGAAGGUCCCCCACAUUGGAACUGAGACACGGUCCAAACUCCUACGGGAGGCAGCAUGC
rnacentral:rRNA from 1 species